rnacentral:miRNA from 1 species
GGGCAGGGGAAUCACAUUUAUAUCCUCUCUCUCUCUCUCUCUCUCUCACACACACACACACACACACACACACACACACACACACACACCCCAGCAUUCCCAGUUGGGGGAGGGACAAUUGAGUCUGUGUCAUAUGUGUGUGUGUGUGUGUGUGUGAGAGAGAGAGAGAGAGAGAGAGAGAGAAUGCACACAUGCAGUUUACAUGCCAG